AUGAUGAGGCUGCGAGAUGAGGUUGGCGAAGAGGUAGAUGAAGAUCUAUUUUCCUUGGCAUGUUGUCUUGAUCGGAGAGUCCGGAAAUUCUCAUCGUGCAUAGUGAAUGGGAUUAGAUUUAGCACUGUUGCUCGUGAUAGCAACAAGAGGACGCAGAACAGUGGAGUCAUGAUCGAAGGUGAACAUGACCAUAAGGUCAUAGAUUUUUAUGGAACCUUGAAAGAGAUCAUUCAGUUAGAUUAUAACUUGAAAGAUAAGUCAGUUGUUUUGUUUAAAUAUGACUGGUUUAAACUUGAUGGAAAGAAGACUGAACUUAAAAAUGAUGGUUUUUUCAAAAGCAUACAUGUUGGAAGUUUGUGGUACAAGGACGAUUCUUUGAUUCUGGCUACUCAGGCUAGUAAGGUCUUUUAUUUGCCGGACACGAAGUAUGGGAAAAAUUGGCAAGUUGUGCAAACAUUCGACCAUAGGCAUCUGUUCAAUAUUAGUGAAACUGAGGGUGUACCUUUUAGUGGUCCUGCAUAUCAAGAGGAGGAGUGUUGUGCAGAGGAGGAUAGGAGAACAUCAGUUUCUGACCAUACAUUUGAGAAGCCUUUGCAUAGAGAUGAUGAGCAAGGCAUUACUUUUGAAGCUGAUGUCGUUGCUCGUUUGAUAAAAGAAAAAUCCACAAAAGUGUAUGAAGGUGGCUACGAAGAUGAAGAAGAUGACACAGGUUUGGAGUAUUGCAGUGAAGACGAAGGAGGUUCCACAAUGGAUGUCGACAGCGAUGACGAGUAG
rnacentral:rRNA from 1 species